rnacentral:rRNA from 1 species
UACGUAGGCAGCGAGCGUUGUUCGGAUUUACUGGGCGUAAAGGGCGCGCAGGCGGCUCAUUUUGUCAGGCGUGAAAGCCCCGGGCUUAACCUGGGAACUGCGCUUGAUACGGAUGGGCUAGAGUUCGGGAGAGGAGAGUGGAAUUCCCAGUGUAGAGGUGAAAUUCGUAGAUAUUGGGAAGAACACCGGUGGCGAAGGCGGCUCUCUGGACCGAGACUGACGCUGAGGCGCGAAAGCGUGGGGAGCAAACAGG